rnacentral:rRNA from 1 species
UACAGAGGGGGCAAGCGUUAUUCGGAAUUAUUGGGCGUAAAGGGCGCGUAGGCGGUGAUUCAAGUUGGAUGUGUAAUCCCCGAGCUCAACUUGGGAACUGCAUCCAAGACUGGAUUGCUAGAGUGCUGGAGAGGGUGGUGGAAUUCCUCGUGUAGCGGUGAAAUGCGUAGAGAUGAGGAGGAACACCAGUGGCGAAGGCGGCCACCUGGACAGUAACUGACGCUGAGGCGCGAAAGUGUGGGGAGCAAACAGG